rnacentral:rRNA from 1 species
UACGUAGGGGGCAAGCGUUGUCCGGAUUCAUUGGGCGUAAAGAGCUCGUAGGCGGUCUGUCGCGUCUGGUGUGAAAACUCAAGGCUUAACCUUGGGCCUGCAUCGGGUACGGGCAGACUAGAGUGCGGUAGGGGAGACUGGAAUUCCUGGUGUAGCGGUGAAAUGCGCAGAUAUCAGGAGGAACACCGGUGGCGAAGGCGGGUCUCUGGGCCGUAACUGACGCUGAGGAGCAAAAGCAUGGGGAGCGAACAGG